rnacentral:hammerhead_ribozyme from 1 species
GCGCUACUGACGAGUCUCAAACAGGACGAAACAGCUGUCUAGUGC